rnacentral:sRNA from 1 species
UUGCACGAAAGCAACGAAAGCCCUAACCUCUCUAACGUCCUUGCGGUUCCUCGACCGCGCCAGUGUGAAUCCGUGUUCCUUAAAGCAG